rnacentral:sRNA from 1 species
AUUUUUUUUCUCUCUCUUUGUUUUAUAAUAAGGUAGAACUUGGUAUAAAAAAUUUAGUUAUAUAACCCAGAAAUCUUUGAUCUCUUAGUCAGAUUUUAACAUUAUUUCACUUUAGAUCUAUUAUAUGUACAUGUAGUGUUUUAUUUUAGCUAUAUACUGUUUUAAUUUUAAUUGGUAUCACUAUACGUUUAUAUAUAUAUUUUAGUACAUACGGGAUUCAGUCUGGUGUAGUUUAUCUGUUUUAAAGAAUCAAAUGUCCCUGGCAUUCCAGAAUAUGUAGCAGAACGAAAUUUUAAACAAAUAGAAUUUUUUUGUCAGUGAAGGGUUUUAUUCAGUGCUUUUAAGACUGAUAACUUUGACUUGAAUAGAAAGGUUUGGGUUUGAACUUUGCUUUUAUUUUUGUUUUUUCGGGUUUAUUGUCACGUUUGUUCACCACGUGGAGUGUAGGCAAUUGGUUGUAUAGCGUGUUUAUCCAUUUCAAAUAUGCUUUCAUUUUGUUUUUUAAAACCCCCAUUAUAAUAACACAAAUGUAUUGUGUCUAGUCAGUGUUUAGCGCGUGGUUUCAGUGUUAAUCUAUUUUAUAUUUCUCAUUUAGCCAUUAACCCAUUAUUCAUUACGUAUUUAUGCACCCAAUUGUUUCUAUUUAUUCUAAUCCUCCUUUGGAAAUCUUAUUUAUGUCUAGACCUAAUAAUUAGGCUUUUAAAAAAACUAAAGUGAAGAGACUUUGAAUAAAAAGGGAGUUAAAAAUAUUUUUUCUUAAGAUAUAAAUUGGUGAGGUUCAAAAUAGUGAAUGUUAUUGUGUGAAAAGAAGCAGCAUUUUUAUAUCAUAUAUUUCAUUUAGAUCAAUUAGAAGUAAGUGCUAAUGCAGUGAAUUUGUUUCCACAUUUUUGGAGAAAUCAUGUUUGAAUUCAUGCUUUGUUGAGUAUUACUAUCAUUUGUCACCAAUGAGUGUAGCCAUUUUUUUCCAUUGUAUUUUCUUCUAAUAUCUGUGUGCAAUAUUAAACGUUGGACAAGCUUGUGCCUAUCUCGCAGACUUAGGACACGGUUCAGUGAUUUCUGUUCAAGUAAUUACAAUAUUCAUAUAUUAGAGAGAAAAAAGAAGAUAAGAAAUCAAAUUUACUUCAUAUUCUUUUUGAUUUUGAACAAUAAUGUAAAAAAGAAGAAAUAGAGCAUUGAUGUUUUGUUUAAGCUCAAAAUUAAGAUUUGUUAGAAAAGGUGGGUGGGUGUUUUGAAGUUUGAUGAUGUUGGCUAGACUAUACGGAAGGUUUGUGAGAUAGGUCACAGAAAGUACUUAUCACAGCUCUUUGUUAUGUGGAUCUGAGAUAUAUCAAAUGUAGAAAUUAACUCACUUGGGAUCAAUAGGAAUAAAUCUUCACAGAAAUUUU